rnacentral:rRNA from 1 species
CCUACGGGAGGCAGCAGUGGGGAAUAUUGGGCAAUGGGCGCAAGCCUGACCCAGCAACGCCGCGUGAAGGAAGAAGGCUUUCGGGUUGUAAACUUCUUUUCUCAGGGACGAAGAAAGUGACGGUACCUGAGGAAUAAGCCACGGCUAACUACGUGCCAGCAGCCGCGGUAAGACGUAGGUGGCAAGCGUUAUCCGGAUUUACUGGGGGUAAAGGGCGUGUAGGCGGGACUGGAAGUCAGUUGUGAAAACCACGGGCUCAACCUGUGGCCUGCAUUUGAAACUGUAGUUCUUGAGUACUGGAGAGGCAGGCGGAAUUCCUAGUGUAGCGGUGAAAUGCGUAGAUAUUAGGAGGAACACCAGUGGCGAAGGCGGUCUGCUGGACAGCAACUGACGCUGAGGCGCGAAAGCGUGGGGAGCAAACAGGAUUAGAUACCCGGGUAGUC